UACGUAGGGUGCAAGCGUUGUCCGGAAUUAUUGGGCGUAAAGAGCUCGUAGGCGGUCUGUCGCGUCGAAUGUGAAAACCCGGGGCUCAACCCCGGGCCUGCAUUCGAUACGGGCAGACUAGAGUUCGGUAGGGGAGUCUGGAAUUCCUGGUGUAGCGGUGAAAUGCGCAGAUAUCGGGAAGAACACCCGUGGCGAAGGCGGCUCUCUGGGACGGUACUGACGCUGAGACGCGAAAGCGUGGGGAGCGAACAGG
rnacentral:rRNA from 1 species